CCCUCUGCGGGAAGCAGCUGCUCAGCAGAAGCUCAGACGGCAGCACGGACAGUGUCAGCACUCGCUCUUCCCACAGACGGACGUGCCCAGGGAAGGUCGGACGAGCUGGUCAAGACCUCUGCAUGGCAAGAAGAAAGGGACAACUUUCAAGCUCCUUGUCGGACAGAUCCGAAGAUCAGAUGAAGUCACUUUUCAGUGGAGACAGCCUUCCAAAGCAGAAAAAAGUUGCUUGGUCCCAAUGAAGGAGUGACGAUCCCAUGUGGUACACAGCGGGAGACAGACAGCCCACGACAGGGAAGUAAUGCUAUUCUCCUGUUUAAGCGCAGAAAUUUUAUUCUGUGGCUGAGAACUAAUUCUGAAGUGAUAGUCCAAAACCAGUAUCAUAGAGAGAGAACAUUCUAUAGUGUUUCAUUACGUAACAGAGCCAGAAUAAGGACAGUAAAGAGGCCAUUUGGAACCACAAAUUGGGAAACCACUGCACCAGAGGCACUUGCAAAACGUAGCAAAACAGGACAUCUGCUUCCUAAAACAGGAAGAUGACACCUCCAGACCCCUCUGCGCUAAUCACAAUAAUUUAAGCACACACUUUGCCUUCCAGGAUGCCCUGGCUUCUCGCCCUUACCCACCACAACAGUGGCUCACAGACCAAGCCUACCACAAGAUGGCCACAGCAGAUCCACAACGUGCCAAGUUCUGCUCCACACAAAAGGGACCUGUUGCUUGUACCCACUUUCUCCAGCUAGCGCAGGGCCACGACUCUUCUCCUGAUGCAACAGACACCAACUCUUUCCUUGCAGUCCACAAGCAAGUUUGGAAAUUCAGAGCCAUAUGAAUGAUAACUACAUAUAAAUGACCUACAUAGGUACAAAUGGGAAACGGUGAACCACCUGAAGACCUAAAGGUACCAAAGUCUCUCUUGAUAUCUCCUCUUCUCACUUAGACCACAUUUUGAAUAAAAAUGCCCAAAUUCUCCAUGUUGGCAGGCCCCUAUCUUCUUCUACCAGCAUAAGAGAGCUGUCCAUUACCAUGCCUCUAGCCACCCCUCACAAUGCACAACCAGACUUACAGUUUACAGAAAAUCUCAAUCCGUGGGCGCACUCUAAGUCAGAACCUUGCAGAAGUGCUGAUUUACUAUGCACGUAGAAAGAACCUACUGUGCAAGCAUGUUUACCUUAGCAGCCUCCUUACAUCCCAGAAACGCUAAGGAAAUACCAUUAAAUAGAGAAGGAUGCCACAGAGCAACUCAUGUGGGAUGAGCUGCACUGGCAGCAGCGAUUCAGUUCCAGGUCUGCUGCUCCUCCACAACACAAAGAAACCCAAACUGAUCAAGUAACUGGGAAGAAAUUUCCUCCUGACCUAGGGGAAGGGGAUUGUGCAUAGAAUGAUUUGUCCUAGCAGGAGACAAUUGACCUGAUAGUACAAGGCUGAGUGAGGCUCCUUUUCUAAAUGUACUCACACCCUUCAUGCCUUUUGACUAUGGCUCUGUUCCAUUUAAUCCAGUAACGUGAAAGAAAACAAACAAACAACAGUUUAUGAUAAAUCAGGUUUACUUUGGGGGGGGACUAGUUGCGUCUUUCCUUGCUGAAAAGACUUGUAUGUGUACAUAUCUACAAAUAUGUAUAUAUUACAGUUUCAAUUUUGCUACUACUUUUGUGUAAUACAAACUAUAUAUGUAUUAAACACAUUUUUUCCAUUAAGCAUAUAAAGAUAAAAUUAUAUAUAUAACAAAGAAAAAAAAAAGCCCAAGUGUCUCUUGCAUUUGAUUUCACACAGUCAAAUUUAGCAUAUAAGCCAAUACAACUGCAUACUGUGCCUCAGAGAUAAAUUCAUGACUUUUUGGUUUAACACCAAGAAUCCAUUAGUAAAUACUAAGAAUUAGAUGCACGUCAGGAAGUACUGACGAAGACUGUUUAAAAAACCAAAAAAGUUUACCAAGCAAUCUAAAUCUUAAUUACAUAAUGGAAGGCUGUGAGAAAUCAUCAGAUACAUAAAUUUUAUGGCUGGUGAAAAGAGUUUGAUAAAUGACUAUGCAGCCAAGAUUCCAUACCAAUUUAUCAGUGGCUUUGUGCCUGCCUGUGCAGAGGCUUGAACUUGAGGGGAGACCAUGAACAAAACAAAUAUUUACCUGGGAGACAGGAAAAACAGAGAAGAUUCAAUUCUACGUUAAAGCAGCUCAGCCUCCAGCACAACAUACGAAGGAGCAACCAUCAGGAGGAAUGAUGGAUUGGAUACAACCUUAAAGUUGUAUACCAAGUGCAUAUGGUAUUCCCCUAUGUAUUUCCUACUUAAUCUGGAAAAAGUAUCCUAUUCAUUGCAAAAAACAUCCUUUAUAAUCAACACAAUGGAUCUAGUGGUGGAAUCCACUUCCAUUUCAUUUUCUUCCUUCUCAGUUUUCGCCAAACUUAUUCUUUAAAGGAGCAAGUUUGGAAUUUGUCAGAACAGUUUAACAAAUGCACUAAGUAAAGUUUCCUUCAACACCAUGUACUGGAACUAAGUAACUUAAUAGCACAGAAGGGAAGCGCUGCCUGAACUUUAGUUUCUUCAUGCUCAUUCCUUCUUGUCCCCUGCUAUUGGUGCCACACCAUAUGUUUGGGCAGUAGCGCAUAUUCUGAAUUAUAUGAAGCACAGUUAAUG